UCUCAAAAGCAGAUGGAAAACAAUAUAAUCUGAAAAGAGUUUAGAAGCCCUCAAACGCUUUUAAGUUGGAGAAGAGGAAUGGCUUCUUAAACUUCGGGUCUCCUCUUGAAUAUGUAGUCGACUUGAAUGCAGGAGGAGGAUUCUUUAAUUGCUGGGAAGAUGUAGGUGGAUGCAGUUAAUGCAGCUCUUCCCUCUUUUUUCGUUGAAGAAUAGGUUGCAGAGAUUGAAUGCUUGAAUACUUGGAGUGGAAUGGUUGUUCUCUACUUUGCUACAGUCUUCUGUGGCUAUUUAAACCAACCCCCACGGAAACUAGCCGUUAGACACCUUUUUCUGCCCGUUCUGCACACUCUGCACAGCCUGAGAAUGUGUCCGUUGGUGGGUUGGAGUCGACUCGCGCGAUCAGGAGUCGACUCGUCUAUAGCGGGAGUCGACUCAUACUUUUUCGGAGUCGACUCGGCAACUGUUCCAGAUUUGAAUUAAAGUUGCCUUCGU
rnacentral:lncRNA from 1 species